rnacentral:rRNA from 1 species
ACGGAAGGCAGCAGUGGGGAAUAUUGCACAAUGGGGGAAACCCUGAUGCAGCAACGCCGCGUGAAGGAUGAAGGCCUUUGGGUCGUAAACUUCUGUCCUUGGGGAAGACAAUGACGGUACCCUUGGAGGAAGCCCCGGCUAACUACGUGCCAGCAGCCGCGGUAAUACGUAGGGGGCAAGCGUUAUCCGGAAUUAUUGGGCGUAAAGAGUACGUAGGCGGUUUCCUAAGCGCAGGGUCUAAGGCAAUGGCUCAACCAUUGUUCGCCUUGCGAACUGGGUUACUUGAGUACAGGAGGGGAAAGUGGAAUUCCUAGUGUAGCGGUGAAAUGCGUAGAUAUUAGGAGGAACACCAGUGGCGAAGGCGACUUUCUGGACUGUUACUGACACUGAGGCACGAAAGCGUGGGGAGCAAACAGGAUUAGAUACCCUGGUA